GCACCACAAGAGGUGGGACCUGCGGUUCAAUUGGAUUCAACGCCGGAAAACUCACCAGGGGCGACAGUUGGAUGAAAGCCAGGUUGACGAUCUUGCAAGACUAGCUGAGAGGUGGUGCAUGGCCAUCGUCAGCUCGUACCGUGAGGCGUCCUGUUAAGUCAGGCAACGAGCGAGAUCCUCGCCCUUAGUUGCCAUCGGUGGAAAGCCGGGCACUCUAGGGGGACCGCUGGCGCUAAGUCAGAGGAAGGAGAGGGCGACGGUAGGUCAGUAUGCCCCGAAUCCCCUGGGCUACACGCGGGUCACAAUGCGCAGGACAAUGAGAUGCAACCCCGUAAGGGGAAGCCAAACCCUUAAACCUGCGCUCGGUUCGGAUCGAGGGCUGUAACUCGCCCUCGUGAAGCUGGAAUCUCUAGUAAUCGCGUGCCAACACCGCGCGGUGAAUGCGUCCCUGCUCCUUGCACACACCGCCCGUCAAGCCACUCGAGUGGGGUUUGGAUGAGGUCAGUUCAAGUUGUGCUGCUCGAAUCCGAGUUCUGCAAGAGGGGCU
rnacentral:rRNA from 1 species